rnacentral:rRNA from 1 species
GAUGAACGCUGGCGGCGUGCCUAAUACAUGCAAGUCGAGCGAACAGACGAGGAGCUUGCUCCUCUGACGUUAGCGGCGGACGGGUGAGUAACACGUGGAUAACCUACCUAUAAGACUGGGAUAACUUCGGGAAACCGGAGCUAAUACCGGAUAAUAUAUUGAACCGCAUGGUUCAAUAGUGAAAGACGGUUUUGCUGUCACUUAUAGAUGGAUCCGCGCCGCAUUAGCUAGUUGGUAAGGUAACGGCUUACCAAGGCAACGAUGCGUAGCCGACCUGAGAGGGUGAUCGGCCACACUGGAACCGAGACACGGUCCAGACUCCUACGGGAGGCAGCAGUAGGGAAUCUUCCGCAAUGGGCGAAAGCCUGACGGAGCAACGCCGCGUGAGUGAUGAAGGUCUUCGGAUCGUAAAACUCUGUUAUUAGGGAAGAACAAAUGUGUAAGUAACUAUGCACGUCUUGACGGUACCUAAUCAGAAAGCCACGGCUAACUACGU